AAUAGAACCCGGGUAGUCCACGCCGUAAACGAUGAGUGCUAAGUGUUAGGGGUUUCCGCCCCUUAGUGCUGCAGCUAACGCAUUAAGCACUCCGCCUGGGGAGUACGGUCGCAAGACUGAAACUCAAAGGAAUUGACGGGGGCCCGCACAAGCGGUGGAGCAUGUGGUUUAAUUCGAAGCAACGCGAAGAACCUUACCAGGUCUUGACAUCCCAUUGACCGCUAUGGAGACAUAGCUUUCCCUUCGGGGACAGUGGUGACAGGUGGUGCAUGGUUGUCGUCAGCUCGUGUCGUGAGAUGUUGGGUUAAGUCCCGCAACGAGCGCAACCCUUGUUCUUAGUUGCCAUCAUUUAGUUGGGCACUCUAAGGAGACUGCCGGUGACAAACCGGAGGAAGGUGGGGAUGACGUCAAAUCAUCAUGCCCCUUAUGACCUGGGCUACACACGUGCUACAAUGGACGGUACAAACGGUUGCCAACCCGCGAGGGGAGCUAAUCCGAUAAAACCGUUCUCAGUUCGGAUUGUAGGCUGCAACUCGCCUACA
rnacentral:rRNA from 1 species